UACGUAGGGUGCAAGCGUUGUCCGGAAUUAUUGGGCGUAAAGAGCUCGUAGGCGGUCUGUCGCGUCUGCUGUGAAAACUCAGGGCUUAACCCUGAGCUUGCAGUGGGUACGGGCAGACUAGAGUGCGGUAGGGGAGACUGGAAUUCCUGGUGUAGCGGUGAAAUGCGCAGAUAUCAGGAGGAACACCGGUGGCGAAGGCGGUUCU
rnacentral:rRNA from 1 species